GGGCUAAUGGCGUAGUUGGUUAUCGCGCCUGCUUUGCAUGUAGGAGAUCUGGAGUUCAAAUCUCUAUUGGUCCA